rnacentral:rRNA from 1 species
UUAAAUUGAAGAGUUUGAUCAUGGCUCAGAUUGAACGCUGGCGGCAGGCCUAACACAUGCAAGUCGAACGGUAACAGGAAGCAGCUUGCUGCUUCGCUGACGAGUGGCGGACGGGUGAGUAAUGUCUGGGAAACUGCCUGAUGGAGGGGGAUAACUACUGGAAACGGUGGCUAAUACCGCAUAACGUCGCAAGACCAAAGAGGGGGACCUUCGGGCCUCUUGCCAUCAGAUGUGCCCAGAUGGGAUUAGCUUGUUGGUGAGGUAACGGCUCACCAAGGCGACGAUCCCUAGCUGGUCUGAGAGGAUGACCAGCCACACUGGAACUGAGACACGGUCCAGACUCCUACGGGAGGCAGCAGUGGGGAAUAUUGCACAAUGGGCGCAAGCCUGAUGCAGCCAUGCCGCGUGUAUGAAGAAGGCCUUCGGGUUGUAAAGUACUUUCAGCGGGGAGGAAGGUGUUGUGGUUAAUAACCGCAGCAAUUGACGUUACCCGCAGAAGAAGCACCGGCUAACUCCGUGCCAGCAGCCGCGGUAAUACGGAGGGUGCAAGCGUUAAUCGGAAUUACUGGGCGUAAAGCGCACGCAGGCGGUCUGUCAAGUCGGAUGUGAAAUCCCCGGGCUCAACCUGGGAACUGCAUUCGAAACUGGCAGGCUUGAGUCUUGUAGAGGGGGGUAGAAUUCCAGGUGUAGCGGUGAAAUGCGUAGAGAUCUGGAGGAAUACCGGUGGCGAAGGCGGCCCCCUGGACAAAGACUGACGCUCAGGUGCGAAAGCGUGGGGAGCAAACAGGAUUAGAUACCCUGGUAGUCCACGCCGUAAACGAUGUCUACUUGGAGGUUGUGCCCUUGAGGCGUGGCUUCCGGAGCUAACGCGUUAAGUAGACCGCCUGGGGAGUACGGCCGCAAGGUUAAAACUCAAAUGAAUUGACGGGGGCCCGCACAAGCGGUGGAGCAUGUGGUUUAAUUCGAUGCAACGCGAAGAACCUUACCUGGUCUUGACAUCCACGGAAGUUUUCAGAGAUGAGAAUGUGCCUUCGGGAACCGUGAGACAGGUGCUGCAUGGCUGUCGUCAGCUCGUGUUGUGAAAUGUUGGGUUAAGUCCCGCAACGAGCGCAACCCUUAUCCUUUGUUGCCAGCGAUUAGGUCGGGAACUCAAAGGAGACUGCCAGUGAUAAACUGGAGGAAGGUGGGGAUGACGUCAAGUCAUCAUGGCCCUUACGACCAGGGCUACACACGUGCUACAAUGGCGCAUACAAAGAGAAGCGACCUCGCGAGAGCAAGCGGACCUCAUAAAGUGCGUCGUAGUCCGGAUUGGAGUCUGCAACUCGACUCCAUGAAGUCGGAAUCGCUAGUAAUCGUGGAUCAGAAUGCCACGGUGAAUACGUUCCCGGGCCUUGUACACACCGCCCGUCACACCAUGGGAGUGGGUUGCAAAAGAAGUAGGUAGCUUAACCUUCGGGAGGGCGCUUACCACUUUGUGAUUCAUGACUGGGGUGAAGUCGUAACAAGGUAACCGUAGGGGAACCUGCGGUUGGAUCACCUCCUUACC